AAAAAUAAACGACACAUCGAUUAUUAAAAAGAGUAAUGGAAAAAACUGAAUGCUGAAUCUAUGCAAUCACCUUCCCAUCUUAAUGUUACAAUGUGUUUUCCCCCCUCUUUGGAGAUUGGGCUCUGUUUUGCAGUCCCCAAAGAUGUUUAUUAAGAAUUGUAUUUAUCUACUUGAUGGACAUUAGUUUCAUAAAUGAAAUUGAGCUUGGGAUUUGGAAAACAUUUGAAGUGCGAGAGAAUCCAAGCAGACUGUGGGAUUGCUUUUGCAACCGUCAGCCUCCAUUUCUCAAGGACAUUUCCUGUAUCAACCCACCGGUAUUGGCUUCGACAUCUCCUCCGCUCCCUUUAUCUUAUACAAUGAGGAGGCGGCCCAGGGAAUCUUUACAUUUCGAGACAACUUCCCUUAAAGUAAAAUGUGUGUGUUAAAGUAAAA